UAUUUCGUAUGGUUUUUCCCCUCCCCCAAAAAAAAAAGCAAACUCCCAUGGAGAAGCGGCGGGAAUUAACUCACCCAAUCUGGGUGGGGUGGGUAGGAAGUCACCCGCUGAUUCCAGAUAGAAUAGCGUACAGUAAUGUCGUUGCGGUUAAAUAGAUGGUAAUCAGAUUCGUGUACCGUACGUUCGUUUCACCGACGGAUCGUAUCAACCUGAUGCGAUACGUCACGUCCCUCCGGUGUCUUGUCAACUGGGUGUGUUUCUCUUUCUCGUGUUUUCCUGGUCGCCUCGCUUUCACUCCGGUGCGGGUGUUUGUCCUUGACUGAGGAUUUGGCUCGCCCCGUUCAUUUUCAACAAACAGGAUUGUUCCCUGCAACUUGAUUGUUCCUGGACUAUUAGUCCAUGGAUGAUUGGAUGGAGCCUUGGGUUUUAUUUGGUUGGUUUUGUGACCCGGACGUAAUGAUUAAUGGGUACAGACAGGCGCAUUCAUAUUGGGACCUUCGAUGUGAGAUUCUUGCAUCGACGCCUGACAGACGGACCCGAAACCAUUUGCUUAGGAUGGAUGCGCUCAUCGAUCACGAACGUUAGGGGUAGGAACGGGAGCAGAUACCUCCUUACUUUUAACUAUACAGAAUGCCUGCUAGCUUUCCAGCUAGCGUUCUCUGAUGUUUUAACGUGCAGCUUCCGGGAAACCAAAGCUUUUGGGUUCCGGGGGAAGUAUGGUUGCAAAGCUGAAACUUAAAGGAAUUGACUGAAGGGCACCACCAGGAGUGGAGCCUGCGGCUUAAUUUGACUCAACACGGGAAACCUCACCAGGCCCGGACACUGGAAGGAUUGACAGAUUGAGAGCUCUUUCUGUGAUUCAGUGGGUGGUGGUGCAUGGCCGUCUUAGUACAUAGACAUCUGUGUCAUACAAACUACGAAAAAAAAAAAAAAAAAAGGGGGGAGGGAAGAGGAC
rnacentral:rRNA from 1 species